rnacentral:miRNA from 1 species
UAGAGAGGGGAAGGAUGUGAUGU